UCCUCCAUUGCUGUGCCCACUGGGUCUGCGUUCUGUCCCUGGCGAACAGAGAGCAUCUUCUGACAGCAGCCGCGACAGCAGGCGCUUCGGACCACCCCUUUGGAUCAUCCUUUGCGGCUUCGCUCCAAGUUUCCUCGCUCUGGACCCCUGCACGUGCGUCUGGACAGAGUUUUGGUUUCGUUCUCGCCUGCCUGUGCACAGCCUGCUCAGCCCCUGCUCCUCCAAUCGCAUUCCGCCUCCCGCCUCCAGACCCGAGACUUUCAUCAGCUGACUGCGGACGUGUUGCAUUUUAGUCAUGUUAUCUUGCAAUCGAUGUAAGUUAGCAGAGACAAAUACUGCGAACGGAGUGGAUCAUCUUUCUCAGAUUCGACCUUUCAACAUCUCAUCAGGAAUGUUCAGGGGUGUCAUGCAGGACCCCUUACUUACAAAGGAGGAGGUUCGUUGGGCAUGUGGUAUACUGUACAUCUUUAAAAAAGCUGAAUGCGAUAUUCAUUCUGGCUUUGGGAUACAUGCACAUACAUGCUCCUUUAGAAUCACAGCUACGGUUUUGCGGUUCUGUGGGGCUUUAUGAACAGUGAAGUGGAGACGUGGUGCUCUGUCACUCUGAAAUGCAUUUUGUUUUGCAAAAGAGGAAGAUCUGGUUUGACAGAUUUGCACUGUGGAAAUUAUUGUUUUUAUAUUUUACAUCGCUGUGUUUAAACAUCACAUAAAUGCCUACUUGAAUGGAUCCCUUCUGCUGCUCGCAAAAAAUCAUACGAUUUCAUACCAGCAUAGCUACACCACGCCCAUCAGGGGGCGGUCAUAGUAGUCUUGCGUAGUCCUGUUACACUUGGGUCAUGUGGUGUGUGUAAUCCCAUUCUUAUUAGACAGAGGCAGUGUGGAUUACAGGAUGGCAGUGAACCCAUUGCACGGAUCUCCCUUUGUUUAUUUUCUAUUAAAAUGUACCCUUCAUCAGUCACGGCCUUAAAGAGCAAACUAAUGAACAGUCACAGAGCUCACACGUUCCGCUUUCUCAGGACAAGGAUUUUGCACGCUUGAGCUGUUUUGAUUUUGAAUUGUUUUUUUUAUUUGGAGGUUAAAGCAGAAUAGAAUAAAGUUUUAUUUUUUAAGGAAUGGGUAAGGGGGCUCCACAGCCAAAAUAUUGGGUUUCUUUUACUUUCCUUUCAGUACAGAAUGAACCUUUACCUGUUCUGUUGCAGCCUGCGCAUGCUGACGCAGCUUCUUACUCGAAAGUUUGAUUUGGUCCCCUAACCUUUGCAACUAAAACCCAUUACAAAACUAAAGGCUCAUUGGAAGGGAGAGUUACAUCUCUACUAAUAGUCUUAUGUUUUAUAAAGUCCUGUUCAUUAUACAUCAAUUCAAGGUACUUUAAGACAUAACAAAAGGGAAAAGUAUUCAUAGAGCUAAUACUGUAAAUUAAACUACUAAAUACUAGAGUAUAAAUGUACAUUUUAAGACGGGAAUAAAAGAACAGGAAGAUCGAAAACAGACCUCAAAGACGAUAGUUAAUGAUAUGAAGGUACGCAGGAAAUUAAUCCUUUCAUGGUGAGCAGGAACAUUUAGAAUUUUAUUCUGAAAUAUAGAGGAAUAAUUCCUCACAGUUAUAUAGUGCUUUUCUGGACACUCCACUCAAAGCACUUUUACAGGUAAUGGGGAUCCCCUCCACCACCACCAAUGUGCAGCCCCACCUGGAUGAUGCGACAGCAGCCAGAGUGCACCAGUAUGCUCCCCACACACCAGCUCUCAGUGGGGAGGAGACCAGAGUGAUGAAGCCAGUUCAGAGAUGGGGAUUAUUAGGAGGCCAUGAUUAGUAAAGGCCAGGGGGAAAUUUGGUCAGGACAGCAGGGUAACGCUCAAGCUCUUUUCAAGAAAUGUCCUGCUCCUCAUUCAUAGGAAUGGCGCCUUUUUACAGCACAGUGUCCCCAUCACUAUGCUGGGGCAUUAGGACCCACACGGACUGCAGGGUGAGCGCCCCCUGCUGGACCCACUAACACCUCUUCCAGCAGCAAGCUUAGUUUUUCCCAGGAGUCUCCCAUCCAGGUACUGGCCAGGCUCACAGUGCAGAGCUCCAGUGGGCUGCCAGCUGUGAGCUGUGAGCUGCAGGGUGAUAUGGCUGCUGGCUAGAGAAAGCAGAGGAAGGAAGCUGAAGUAGCUUAUAUACAGUACGCUCUUGCAUUGAAGUUUUAGUUGAGAUCCAAGUAGUUCUGAAUGUGUUUGGAUAUACAGUAUGAAUAUCAACCUCUCCAAAAAAUAAAAUCCACAGUGUUUAACUGAUGUAUAACUACAGCUGUUCACAUUGACACUGUAUUCC
rnacentral:lncRNA from 1 species